rnacentral:rRNA from 1 species
GGGUCAGUAGGUUGGUCGUGCCACCGGUACGUACUGGUCUCACUGAUUCGUCCUUCCUGAACAACCGUAAUGCCAUUAAUUUGGUGUUGCGGGGAAACAGGACUGUUACUUUGAAAAAAUUAGAGUGUUUAAAGCAAGCUAACGCUUGAAUACAUUAGCAUGGAAUAAUGAAAUAGGACGAUCGAUCCUAUUUUGUUGGUUUCUAGGAUUGACGUA